GCCCAGUAGGCUGCUCAACACGUUGAAGGUCUUGAGGGUACAAAGUCAGGUCCUCCUCCUAGUGAGGCUGGUCCCACCCUCAGCUAGAAUGCAAACACUCCAGGUGGCGAAAACUUGGGGGUGGGGGGUGUCCCUGGAAAGAGACAGAACCUGCUCUGCCUACAGACUGCAAAGCCAAGAGGCUCUAGGCAAGUCGGGGGCUCUAGGCAAACAAAGAAAGGAAGCCACUUAGGCCAAGACAGACCAGGUCAAAUACUUGACCCAGCUGAACCGCCCAGAAAAGUCAGGUUUGAUCAGAGACCUGGAGAAAUGGAGGGAAGCAGGAAAGUGCAACCAGGCAGAAGCAUCAGGACUGUGAACCGUCAAGAGGUGGGUUGGUGCACAGUCGCGGAGUAAAAGUCAGUUGGGACAGGAGACACUAAGGAAAAGUGCCUUCUAGACAAAACGGGACUGAGAAACAUAUAAACUCGGAGAUAGUACCCUCAUGUGCAGGACCUUCAAGGUGUAAGGCAGACAAGAUUCCAGUACUGAGAGAGAACCUUCAUCCAGCAGCUGUUCGAAGCAGAAACAGGCACCCACAGCUAAGCACUGAACCAUACUCCUGGAAUCCAGUUGCCGAGAGGGAGGAGGGAUGACCAAAAGAGCAAAGACGGUGCUGGAGAGGCCUGAAGAAACAGUUGACCUGACCUAGUGAGAGCAUGGAGACCCUAGUCAUAAAGCUGGGGAAACAGCAUUGGACCAAACCAAGCCCUCUAAAUGUGGGUGCCAGCUACGAGGCCAAGACAGUCUAUGGGACCUCUAACAGUGGAGCCAGUCUUUAACCCUAGAGCACAAUGGACUUGGAGCCCAUUCCCUAUGGAGGGAUACUAUUGCAGCCCAGAUACAGCAAGGAGGGCCUAGGCCCUCCCCCAAAUGAUAUGCCAGACUUUGAAGGUCCCCUGUGGAUGAUCU
rnacentral:lncRNA from 1 species